GAUGAAGAACGUAGUGAAAUGCGAUAAGUAAUGUGAAUUGCAGAAUUCAGUGAAUCAUCGAAUCUUUGAACGCACAUUGCGCCCGCCAGUAUUCUGGCGGGCAUGCCUGUCCGAGCGUCAUUUCAACCCUCGAACCCCUCCGGGGGGUCGGCGUUGGGGAUCGGGAACCCCUAAGACGGGAUCCCGACCCCGAAAUACAGUGGCGGUCUCGCCGCAGCCUCUCCUGCGCAGUAGUUUGCACAACUCGCACCGGGAGCGCGGCGCGUCCACGUCCGUAAAACACCCAACUUCUGAAAUGUUGACCUCGGAUCAGGUAGGAAUACCCGCUGAACUUAAGCAUAUCAAUAAGCGGAGGA
rnacentral:misc_RNA from 1 species